GCUCAUUCUAGAACAGUCAGGUGAUUUUGCAGAAUCGAAGUCUUCGUCUCGAAUAUCUCUUUGCCAUGUCGGACGAGGAAGUUGUUGACCCAAAGGCGACAUUAGAAGUAAGUUGCAAGCCUAAGUGUGUAAGGCAACUAAAGGAGUAUCAGGCAUGUACCAAAAGGAUAGAAGGUGAUGAAUCAGGGCACAAACAUUGCACUGGACAGUAUUUUGAUUAUUGGCACUGCAUCGACAAAUGUGUUGCUGCGAAGUUGUUUGACCAUCUCAAGUAACAAGGAUAUAAGUUGUUGAUCCCUUGCAAUUUAUCUUCUUUUUGGUUGUUGAACAAGUCAUUACCAUAUUAUUCCUCACUGUGCUGAAGACUUGUAACCCUUUCAAUCAACUUGGUUGCUGCAUGGAAAAUUUUGAACUAUGCACAUCUUAAAAAGUGAUUAAUAAAUCAUACUCGUGGGUUGAAUUGGACCCUUUUA
rnacentral:misc_RNA from 1 species